AACAAGAUAUGGAGAAUCAUUUUUCCACUGUUGAGAACCUUCAAGAGCAACAGCAGGGCACUGAAACUGGAACUGGGACUGGGACUUGGAUGAGGUCUCUUCCAAGAUGGGCAAUUUUGGGAUUGUGUGUUCUCGGAGUUUCUGCCUUCCUUAUUCUUCUUCAAUGCAACCCGAUACUUGCCGCCCGGUUAGCUAUAGCAGUAGCGAGCGCAGAUGGGUUAAUUACGGUGCUCCAAAAUGGGAUAGUUCGGGUUUCUGCCACUUAGGAGGAGAUUCACAUGGAUAAUAUCCUAAGCAGAUUUCCUAACUUAAUGGCAAUUGUGCACCAAAGUUUGAAUGAAGCAUAUAGGUGCCUUAUUAUUGGCCGGAGGAUAAUAAACAGCGUCACUCCGGUUGUUGCUUAAAUUUACAUGUGUCUUCAUUAUAGGUUUGAGUCUUUUUAUUUGGAGUCUACUAUUUCACUUAGGUGUUUAAUUAAAACUUUAAAUAAUGGUACUCUUUUUCCUACCUGAGGAUUAUUCCCAAUGGAGGUUUUAAUGAGGCCCCUUGUGAGUUUUUAUUGUGACUCUCACAAGCUUUGAA